rnacentral:lncRNA from 1 species
UUGGUAUCAGAGCCCUAGGUUCACAUGAUCGGACCUAUAGAGACAGUGUUGGGCUCAGACAGGUUAGAAGUGGUCAAGCACAAUAGGAAAUCAUGUCCACUAGGAUAGGGUCUUGAGUCCUAUCUGCUAUGAUAUGCCAUGAGUAUUGUAUGUGUAUGAUUGAUAUGUGAUGUUUAUGUGCAAAGUGGUAUGUUAUAUGUUGUGUUUCCGGAAUAAAGAUGCGAGGAACUCGUCGAUCAGCUC